rnacentral:rRNA from 1 species
AGCAGCCGCGGUAAUUCCAGCUCCAAUAGCGUAUAUUAAAGUUGUUGCAGUUAAAAAGCUCGUAGUUGAAUUUCGGGAUCAAUAUAUCGGUCGUGCCUUGGUACGUACUGGUAUCAUUGGUUUCUCCUUUCUGACGAACCAUGAUGUCAUUAAUUUGGUGUUAUGGGAAGUUAGGACUGUUACUUUGAAAAAUUAGAGUGUUUAAAGCAGGCUUUGGCUUGAAUACAUUAGCAUGGAAUAAUGAAAUAGGACGUUCGAACCUAUUUUGUUGGUUUCUAGGAUCAACGUAAUGAUUAAUAGGGAUAGUUGGGGGCAUUAGUAUUCAAUUGUCAGAGGUGAAAUUCUUGGAUUUAUUGAAGACUAACUACUGCGAAAGCAUUUGCCAAGGAUGUUUUCAUUAAUCAAGACGAAAGUUAGGGGAUCGAAGACGAUCAGAUACCGUCGUAGUCU